GAAAUCGAAGUAUUGAAUUUGAGGGUUCAAUUAUAUAUUAUAAAUUACAGGCGAAAAAUAUUUGGAAAAAGAGAAGGAGGGGGGGGGGGAGUUUAUAUCCAUUUUUCGAGAAUUAAUUACAAAACUCAGUGCCAAGAUUGCCUCAAAACCAAAAUCACAAACACAAAGAUUGUGUUUCCAUCAAAAAUGGAGAAUUUUCAUAUGGUUAACAACUCCUCCAAAUUUAAUCAGGAGAAUAUGACUUCACUAGUAGCUUCCUCUAAAAUUGGAUGGCAGGACGUGUCGAUAAAUGAGUAGUUCAUUAUAGAUCACCAUCCAAAAUCAGCUAAUCCUAUCACUUUGUGUAUUAGAAAUUACAAUUGACUGGAUCAAGAAUUGCAAAAUUUUACAUCGACUUUACCUUACAUUGCUCCACUUUGAUUUAUAAACGAGGAAGAAAUUUUUUCAUAAGUGGCAUCUUUCGACUUUCGUCCCCGACUUCCAAAAAUUCCCAAGGGGGACAGGUAUUGUUAUGAUCGUCCCUAACUUGUUGCCAUCCCUAGAUCAUGAGUAGUUCAUUAUAGGUCACCAUCCAAAAUCAGCUAAUCCUAUCACUUUGUGUAUUAGAAAUUACAAUUGACUCGAUCAAGAAUUGCAAAAUUUUACAUCGACCUUACCUUACAUGCUCCACUUUGAAUUAUAAACGAGGCAGAAAUUUUUUCAUAAGUGGCAUCUUUCGACUUUCGUCCCCGACUUCCAAAAAUUCCCAAGGGGGACAGGUAUUGUUAUGAUCGUCCCUAACUUGUUGCCAUCCCUAGAUUUGACUUUUUUAAUUCUAUUAUUUCAAUCCAUAAAGAGAUUUUCAAAAAUCUAAUUAUUUUUGUACAUUGUUGAUUCAAAUUACACCGAUAAGAGCAUUUCAAUAAUUGUCUUUGGUUAAAAGAGAAUCUUUUUAAAAUGUAGAGCAUUUUCAAUAAUAAUUACAACUAAAGAGUAUUUUUUUUUCUCGUUUUCGUUUUGUUAUUUAACUCUAUUUCGAAAGAGAUGACGGAAACUUGG
rnacentral:lncRNA from 1 species